ACUCCUACGGGAGGCAGCAGUGAGGAAUAUUGGACAAUGGGUGAGAGUCUGAUCCAGCCAUCCCGCCGUGAAGGACGACGGCCCUAUGGUUGUAAACUUCUUUUGUAUAGGGAUAAACCUUUCCACGUGUGGAAAGCUGAAGGUACUAUACGAAUAAGCACCGGCUAACUCCGUGCCAGCAGCCGCGGUAAUACGGAGGGGUGCAAGCGUUAUCCGGAUUUAUUGGGUUUAAAGGGUCCGUAGGCGGAUCUGUAAGUCAGUGGUGAAAUCUCAUAGCUUAACUAUGAAACUGCCAUUGAUACUGCAGGUCUUGAGUAAAGUAGAAGUGGCUGGAAUAAGUAGUGUAGCGGUGAAAUGCAUAGAUAUUACUUAGAACACCAAUUGCGAAGGCAGGUCACUAUGUUUUAACUGACGCUGAUGGACGAAAGCGUGGGGAGCGAACAGGAUUAGAUACCCUGGUAGGAUAGCG
rnacentral:rRNA from 1 species